AGGAAAGUCAAAAUCAGUCUAAGGGAAAUGAAAAGAAAAAAGUUAAAAGAUGAAAAGUCCAAGUUACAAAAACUGACUUGAAGCCUACCUCCAGAAAAUUUUCCUCCAUAAAGGUAAAAGAGGGAAUAAAAAGGGAGAGCACAAGGGAAGCAUCAUUUCAUAAGGAAGGAAAUGAAGAAAUAAGCCAAUCUUCAUCAGCAAUUUCAAAAAGUCAUUGGAGCAGGUGAUUCAGAACUCAGUUAAUCAUUCACGCUUACUUGGAAGUUGUUACUAUAAAAUUA
rnacentral:lncRNA from 1 species